rnacentral:rRNA from 1 species
GACGUAGGGCGCGAGCGUUGUCCGGAUUUAUUGGGCGUAAAGAGCUCGUAGGCGGCUUGUCGCGUCGUCCGUGAAAACUUGGGGCUCAACCCCAAGCUUGCGGUCGAUACGGGCAGACUAGAGUGUGGUAGGGGAGACUGGAAUUCCUGGUGUAGCGGUGAAAUGCGCAGAUAUCAGGAGGAACACCGAUGGCGAAGGCAGGUCUCUGGGCCACUACUGACGCUGAGAAGCGAAAGCAUGGGGAGCGAACAG